CAUCUCAAGUUUUCGGCGUAAGAC
rnacentral:siRNA from 1 species